CAGAGAUUGUUAAGCUGCCGCAGCUGCCCCACUUCUGACCCAGCUCCCUGUUAAUGGCCUGGGAAAGCAGUGAAGGAUGGCUCAAGUGUUUGGGCCACUGCUCUGGACUUUUUUGGACCCACUGUGCUUGAAACAUCGGCAGACACCCGAGGGUUAAAACGGCGGCACAGGUGCGAGACAGCCUGAGACAGAUCUACAACCGAAAGGAUUCGAAAUGACGCGGGGCGGGGAAGAUGACGACGGUCAGCCUGUGUCAUCCUCAGAGAAGGUGCUGGGUCCGUGGAACAAGUGCUGGAAUGACAGCAAAACCGGAAGCCUCACCCACAGGUCCGCAGAGGAAGCCUCAAGCACAGACUGCGUGUCUCCGACCGGCUGCCACACUGGACAGAUGGCACAGGAGGCUGACAGAGGCCAAGUGGCAGCGCGCCUCCAGAUUAUCAGGACAGAGGGAAAGAACCUCCUACGGAAGUGCACGGAACUCAAGAACCCGGGACAGCUGGGGGAGGCGGGCACAAACCAAGGAGAGGCAGGUGUCUUUAAACAGGAACAUUUACAGAAAUUGA